CAGUAGCCGCGGUAAUACAAGGGGAGCUAGUGUUGUUCGGAAUUACUGGGCGUAAAGCGCGCGUAGGCGGCUUUUUAAGUCAGAGGUGAAAGCCCGGGGCUCAACCCCGGAAUUGCCUUUGAAACUGGAAAGCUAGAAUCUUGGAGAGGUCAGUGGAAUUCCGAGUGUAGAGGUGAAAUUCGUAGAUAUUCGGAAGAACACCAGUGGCGAAGGCGACUGACUGGACAAGUAUUGACGCUGAGGUGCGAAAGCGUGGGGAGCAAACAGGAUUAGAUACCCCUGUAGUCCCUGUCUCUUAUAC
rnacentral:rRNA from 1 species